ACGUACCUUGAAGUGGGGAAUAGCGUCUGGAAACGGACGAUAAUACCGCAUAAUCCCUGAGGGGAAAGAUUUAUCGCUUUAAGAACGGCCCGCGGAAGAUUAGGUAGUUGGUGGGGUAAAGGCCUACCAAGCCUACGAUCUAUAGCUGGUCUGAGAGGACGAUCAGCCACAUUGGAACUGAGACACGGUCCAAACUCCUACGGGAGGCAGCAG
rnacentral:rRNA from 1 species